UCUUGAUAUAUAGUUACUGAAGUUCAGUUUUAUGAAUUUAUGAAUGUAUACGAGAAAUUAGGUUUCCUAUCUUUUUCUACUUUACUCGCUUCGAUGACUGGUUUACCUGCUAGAGCAGCAUCCCAUUGUUCAGUAGAAGGUAAAGUAAGGAAGACAUUGGUCAGGUUCUUAAUUCGUUCAUACAUACUCUCUGAUUUGAACUAGCACAUAACAAUGUUGCUUAUUGUCUACAGCUAAUGCCAUGUCUCUCUACAAUGCAAUAUACUAAUAACUUUUAUCCCAAAAUUUCCAGCGCCAGUUGGCCGCGCUGCAAGGUACGCUGAAGAUAUCUGAAGGAUUGAUUGGCACUGUCAGUGUCUAGGUUGGUGUUGGCAUGUGCAUGGAGGGAAUAAUAGAGCAUAUAAUCCACUUGUUUAUUAUCUAAUAGCAUUCCGUGGUCAAAAGGUUAAAGCUGAGGUACUUGGUAAAUGGAACACAGUUAACCAAGACAGCAGGCUUGCUCCAUUGGCAAAAAUGGUUAUGUGGCUAGAAAAGCGAUGCAGGACAGCUGGCGCUGGCAGGCGGCGGCGCGGAGAGUGGUGGCGGGAGCGGAGGCGAUGCGGCGAGCGCUGACGAAGGCUGGCACACCCACGUUUCCCUCUCCUCUUCCUCUCUGCUCAGACCGUGGCCCUCGACGCCUGCAUCUGGGCUGCUAGCAGCAGGUCUGGUUGGGGAAGCACAAGGAGAGAAACAACCAGAGGUUGCCGCUGUUAUUCCUGUAAUUUCUGCCCCUCUCUGUCCAGUUUGUCACUAGGAAUACCCUUGGAUAAUCAGGGUGUUGCAUUUUGACUCAUAUAUAGUUACAUUGUCAGCAACCAGCAUGAUAUAUUUAUUGCCACAUUUGUUGUGAUGCAUCGGCAAAUUUUGUUACCAUGAAGCCUUAUCUAUUUGCAGCACACAGCUUACACCUUGGAUGCCUUGAUACAUUGGAGAAUUGUGUUACCAUGAGACCCUUCUCUAUUUUUCCAUUCAAUUUUUUAUCCUUCUUGACUUAUCUCGUUCGUUUAGCGCAGGUAGACGGUU